AGCCCCUUUAGGACCACCAACGUGCCUGGUCCCCACGACUCGCGGCUGCCUCCUCUCGGGCCGGGGCAGGGAGGAGCCGCUACUGCCGGUUAUCUUCGGACACGUUGUGGGCCAGCCAGUUCACUCGGUUUCCAGCUCUCGCGGAGGGCUUCGUUAAACUUCACUCGGAAGUGCUUCGUUAAACUUCACUCGGAAGUGCUUCGUUAAACUUCACUCGGAAGUGCUUCAGCGCCUCCUCUGUUUUCCCCGGUGCCAGGGAGUCCUUGAGAUACCGGAUGUCUUUGGAGCAGCUGAGCUCAGGCAGGCCUGCUGCCUGCAUCAGGGCAAAGAGGUGGAGGAAGAGAAGCCCGUGGCGCCGCAGGAUGGUGUUAGGCCCUUUCACAGUAGCCCCGGAACCUUUCAAAUUUCUCAUAUUAUUAGUCUUCCCCUGCUCAAUCACAUGGACAAAGUCAUAGUGUGAAACUACAACUGUGUUUAUAAGGAGGAUGCCACUGGAAAUGAAUUCUGCUCAAAGAAUGAACUCUCUACACACAUCAUCUUUCUCUCACAGACAUCAUACCACCUCAAGCACUGCAGCCUCAAAAGGGGAAAUUCCUGAGUGAUUCUUCUUGAAGCUUAAAUUCUGUGGGAUUUUUAUGGUGGAAAACUUAGGAGAGGAACCAGACAGCCCAUCUAGGAGCUGAUACUCUUCUAGUGAAGACCACCCUUGCAGGAAAGCAUCUGUCCUCCCAGAAUCCGGAUGUUAGGUUUGAGAAUUUACUAAUGUGUGACUUCUCUGAAACAAUUUAUUUAGGAAAAAAGGUUGAAUAAAUAUAUACUCAAUAAAAGUAUUGCAAAAAUUAAAUAAA
rnacentral:lncRNA from 1 species